GAUGAACGCUGGCGGCGUGCCUAAUACAUGCAAGUCGAGCGAACAGACGAGGAGCUUGCUCCUUUGACGUUAGCGGCGGACGGGUGAGCAACACGUGGGUAACCUACCUAUAAGACUGGGAUAACUUCGGGAAACCGGAGCUAAUACCGGAUAAUAUUUCGAACCGCAUGGUUCGAUAGUGAAAGAUGGCUUUGCUAUCACUUAUAGAUGGACCUGCGCCGUAUUAGCUAGUUGGUAAGGUAACGGCUUACCAAGGCAACGAUACGUAGCCGACCUGAGAGGGGGUCCGGCCCCAGGGGAGUGAGACCCGGGCCCAGCUCCUGAGGGGAGGCACAAGGGGGAAUGCGACGGCAAGGGGGAAGAGCCGGCGGGAACCCCGCGGGGGGAGUGAAAAGGUUUUCGGUAUUGAAAACCGUUUUUAUUGGGAAAAAAAAAAGGUGAAAGAACAUGUCCAGUCUUGGCGGGAACCAAAAAAAAAAGCCCCGCCAAACUCGGG
rnacentral:rRNA from 1 species